rnacentral:rRNA from 1 species
CCAAGGAGUCUAACAUGUGCGCAAGUCAUUGGGUCUUGCAUAGGCCCAAAGGCGAAAUGAAAGUGAAGGGUGAUCCUAGUGGUCGCCCGAGUUGGGAUCCCUUACCCUUCGGGGUGGGGCGCACCAACGGCCCGGCCCAACGCCGCCACGUCGGCGGGUCGGAGCUAGAGCGCACACGUUGGGACCCGAAAGAUGGUGAACUAUGCCUGGGCAGGACGAAGCCAGAGGAAACUCUGGUGGAGGUCCGCAGCGAUUCUGACGUGCAAAUCGAUCGUCAGACCUGGGUAUAGGGGCGAAAGACUAAUCGAACCAUCUA